rnacentral:rRNA from 1 species
AAAUUGAAGAGUUUGAUCAUGGCUCAGAUUGAACGCUGGCGGCAGGCCUAACACAUGCAAGUCGAACGGUAACAGGAAACAGCUUGCUGUUUCGCUGACGAGUGGCGGACGGGUGAGUAAUGUCUGGGAAACUGCCUGAUGGAGGGGGAUAACUACUGGAAACGGUAGCUAAUACCGCAUAAUGUCGCAAGACUAAAGAGGGGGACCUUCGGGCCUCUUGCCAUCGGAUGUGCCCAGAUGGGAUUAGCUAGUAGGUGGGGUAACGGCUCACCUAGGCGACGAUCCCUAGCUGGUCUGAGAGGAUGACCAGCCACACUGGAACUGAGACACGGUCCAGACUCCUACGGGAGGCAGCAGUGGGGAAUAUUGCACAAUGGGCGCAAGCCUGAUGCAGCCAUGCCGCGUGUAUGAAGAAGGCCUUCGGGUUGUAAAGUACUUUCAGCGGGGAGGAAGGGAGUAAAGUUAAUACCUUUACUCAUUGACGUUACCCGCAGAAGAAGCACCGGCUAACUCCGUGCCAGCAGCCGCGGUAAUACGGAGGGUGC